rnacentral:rRNA from 1 species
GGAUUCCCCUAGUAACUGCGAGUGAAGCGGGAAAAGCUCAAAUUUAAAAUCUGGUAGUCUUUGGCUGCCCGAGUUGUAAUCUAGAGAAGCGUUAUCCGCGCUGGACCGUGUAUAAGUCUCCUGGAAUGGAGCGUCAUAGAGGGUGAGAAUCCCGUCUUUGACACGGACUACCAGGGCUUUGUGAUGCGCUCUCAAAGAGUCGAGUUGUUUGGGAAUGCAGCUCUAAAUGGGUGGUAAAUUCCAUCUAAAGCUAAAUAUUGGCGAGAGACCGAUAGCGAACAAGUACCGUGAGGGAAAGAUGAAAAGAACUUUGGAAAGAGAGUUAAACAGUACGUGAAAUUGUUGAAAGGGAAACGCUUGAAGUCAGUCGCGUUUGUCAGGGAUCAACCUUGCUUUUGCUUGGUGUACUUCCUGGCUAACGGGUCAGCAUCAAUUUUGACCAGUGGAAAAAGGUCGAGGGAAUGUGGCAUCUUCGGAUGUGUUAUAGCCCUUGAUUGUAUACAUUGGUUGGGAUUGAGGAACUCAGCACGCCGCAAGGCCGGGUUUUUAACCACGUUCGUGCUUAGGAUGCUGGCAUAAUGGCUUUAAUCGACCCGUCUUGAAACACGGACCAAGGAGUCUAACAUGCCUGCGAGUGUUUGGGUGGAAAACCCAAGCGCGUAAUGAAAGUGAAAGUUGGGAUCUCUGUCGUGGAGAGCACCGACGCCCGGACCAGACCUUCUGUGACGGAUCCGCGGUAGAGCAUGUAUGUUGGGACCCGAAAGAUGGUGAACUAUGCCUGAAUAGGGUGAAGCCAGAGGAAACUCUGGUGGAGGCUCGUAGCGAUUCUGACGUGCAAAUCGAUCGUCGAA